rnacentral:rRNA from 1 species
CAAUAGUUCUAUUAGAUAAUUUCUUAAGUUUCUUAAACCAAGCUUGCUUGAAAUACGCACGCGUUUCACAGUCAUCUCCAACCCAUCCAUCACAGCAACUAUAGUGUGUUGCAGAGCUAUAAUUGAGAAUUAAUAUGUUUAAUUUUACGAGGACAUGUUUGGCUAGAUAAUUAUUAUUAUUCAAAUUACUAACAACAGGUAAAAUGUAUUCGCUUUCACUGUUGUGCAACUUCAAAUAAUUAUGAGCCACUGCAACAUCCCUAAUAAAAUUAAGCCAGCAUUUUAGAAAAGAAUGUAUUUUUUAACAAAUAAGUACUUACGUUGUGUGACAAUCUCCGAAAAUUCCAAAUAACCAUGUGCAAGUUCUCCAGUAUGUGCGGUGACUGCAAUGACGUGAUCUGAGUUCAAACCGGAUGGGAAUCAGCCAUAGAGUGUAAAGGCAUAAGAGAGCUUGACUGCAACAGAUACAGGUCGAGCACGGACGAAAGUCAGCCUUAGUGAUCCGACGGCACUGA